CUGGUUUUCUUCGACGUGGUUAGGUCUUCAUGGAAGACUAAAACUGUUUGUCUGCGAAUGUAAUGAAUUUAUUUCGUUAUUUAAAUAAGUCUGUGGAUAUUGAGAUUUAGAGUUCACACAUCUGAAAAUAAAAGGUUUAUCUGCAAAUUGGAUUCAAAUGAAGGAAAAUCUUCAUAAGGAUAUCUCUGCUCGUAUGUUGACGCUCCAAAAUUGAAGUACAGCGGGAUUCUGAUGACUUGGUGGCUAACUUCCGCCCUCAAACGGGUGCAUUUUCUGAGAAGAAACGUUUGAAAUGGAGAGAAAUGAUAACUCCAUAUCUGACCUAGAAGUUUUCGGAGCAAAAUUGGGAAAAGUUGUCUACAUAUCUAUUACCAAUAUUCAAGUCGAAAUUUCUUCUGAAAUCAAGACUCUCUAUUUUUUUGAACAAGGUGUGAGAUGGCGGCUCUGGAAUAGAAUACAGGAUUAGAUGUAACUGGCCUUCGUAUAAGCAACUGAUGUGCUCAUAAUGCAAUGCAACUGCUAUUGAUAAUCAAUAACGCAGAAAGUUUGUCACAAUCACGUCGUCCUUUCAAGUAAGAUCACAUGAUUUUGGAAUCUUAGACGAAAUUGUCCAAUAGUAGAAUUAAGAAUAUUAAUUACUAGUUAUUAAG